AUACGAGUUUGAUCAUGGCUCAGGAUGAACGCUAGCGGCAGGCUUAAUACAUGCAAGUCAAGGGGGUAGCAAUACAACCGGCGCACGGGUGAGUAACGCGUACACAACAUACCAUAUACUGGAGUAUAGCUUUGGGAAACUGAAGGUAAUCCUCCAUAACAUUGCGAGAGGGCAUCUGAUUGCAAUUAAAGUUUCGGCGGUAUAUGAUUGGUGUGCGUUUGAUUAGCUAGUUGGUAGGGUAACGGCCUACCAAGGCGACGAUCAAUAGCUGGCGUGAGAGCGCGACCAGCCACACUGGAACUGAGACACGGUCCAGACUCCUACGGGAGGCAGCAGUAGGGAAUAUUGGACAAUGGAGGAAACCCUGAUCCAGCCAUGCCGCGUGAUAGAUGAAGGCCCUCUGGGUUGUAAAUAUCUUUUAUCUGGGAAGAAACACUCCUAUUCUUAGGAACUUGACGGUACCAGAGGAAUAAGCACCGGCUAACUCCGUG
rnacentral:rRNA from 1 species